UACGUAGGGGGCGAGCGUUGUCCGGAAUUAUUGGGCGUAAAGGGUUCGCAGGCGGCCGAUUAAGUCAGAUGUGAAAUCCCACGGCUUAACCGUGGUAAGCAUUUGAAACUGAUUGGCUUGAGUUAAGGAGAGGAAAGUGGAAUUCCUAGUGUAGCGGUGAAAUGCGUAGAUAUUAGGAGGAAUACCAGUGGCGAAGGCGACUUUCUGGACUUAUACUGACGCUGAGGAACGAAAGCGUGGGGAGCAAACAGGAUUAGAUACCC
rnacentral:rRNA from 1 species